UUCGUUAUUAGGUUAUUUAUUAUUUUAUCUUAAUUAUUAUUAUGCUAUAUGGUAAUUUGAUGAAUUAUGUGAUUAUAAUUUAAAUCUCAUGUGAUAUAGAAUAAGAUUUAGAUAAAUAAGUUUGUUAGGUUUUUGUGUGAGUAAUUGAGAGUGGGGCCCAUUAGUAUGACUAUUUAAGGGAUAUGAGUGAAUUAGAAAGAGAGAAAUCAGAAUUUGAGAAUUGGAGAAGUUAGCAGAGGAGAAGAAAAGAAGCGUGAAAGAGAGAAGGGGAGAAAAGAGAAGAAAAAACCUAGAAUUUGAUCUUCAAGAGGUACAGGAGGUAGAGAUGUGGCUCAUGAGGAGUAGCUUCGGAGAGUCUUAGCUUAUGUUAUUAUUAUUAUUAUUAUAAAAUAAGUGUCUUGCUCUGUAAUGUAACACUGGUUAGAUAUUUUACGUUACUUUUACAUUUAUGUUGAGAGGAUUUUAUAAUCUCUUCUUAUGGAAGUUGUUGAAUAAUUUUCUAAAUGAUGGCGAUGUCGUACUGUUGACGGCCGAAGUGCUUAUGAAAUUCAGUUCUGAGUAUGAUGAAUUUUAUUGGAAUAUCAUGGAAGAUAAACCUAUUUAAAUAAGUGAUUUUAUGCAUCUUAGGAUUAUCUGACUGGUUUAGAAAUUUCAUUGGCAGGAAUAAUUCAUUCUUUGAAAAGCAUAUGAACUUAUAAAUUUUCAAACACAAUCAGUGUUAAUUUUAAUGAGUUUUCGUGAAGAAGUGUAAUACUCCCUUGAUAUGUUUUUAAACUCUGAUAAACGUUUUUAAAUAAAACAAUGGGAAAAAGGGGGUGUUACAUUAGUGGUAUCAGAGCAUGGUCGGUUAGUAGACUAGGUUUAUCAGCAUGUUUAUUAACAUGUUUAAUUCCUUUUGUAUUCGAUAUGUGUCUAUGACACAAUCGAUAUUGUUUUGGUCAGUAGGAUAGAAGAAGUCCUACCCCGAGUUGUUCAUUUAAGGUAAUUUUCGAGGGCGAAAAUUCUUAAGUGGGGGAGAGUUGUAACACCCCACUUUUCGUUAUUAGGUUAUUUAUUAUUUUAUCUUAAUUAUUAUUAUGCUAUAUGGUAAUUUGAUGAAUUAUGUGAUUAUAAUUUAAAUCUCAUGUGAUAUAGAAUAAGAUUUAGAUAAAUAAGUUUGUUAGGUUUUUGUGUGAGUAAUUGAGAGUGGGGCCCAUUAGUAUGACUAUUUAAGGGAUAUGAGUGAAUUAGAAAGAGAGAAAUCAGAAUUUGAGAAUUGGAGAAGUUAGCAGAGGAGAAGAAAAGAAGCGUGAAAGAGAGAAGGGGAGAAAAGAGAAGAAAAAACCUAGAAUUUGAUCUUCAAGAGGUAAGGGUUUGAAUUUAUCUUGUAUAAUUGUAGAAUAACAGAGGUUGAGUUUAACAUGAAGGAACCCUCAUCUUUUUUGAAAAUUCAGAACUGAGAGACUGUGUUGAGUGUUAACAUGUGGUGAGAAAAAUUGAUUUUGAGCGAAAUUGAGGUUCCGGGGAAAAUUGGGUUCUGUUAUGUUUUGCCCGCAGAUACCCUAACAGUCUGUGUUGUAGAGAGCAUAACUCUCUCUACAGAAUUCCAAAUUGAGUGAAACCAAUUUUGUAUGAAAG